UACGGGGGGGGCAAGCGUUGUUCGGAAUUACUGGGCGUAAAGGGCUCGUAGGUGGCCAACUAAGUCAUGCGUGAAAUCCCUCGGCUUAACCGGGGAACUGCGUCUGAUACUGGAUGGCUUGAGUUUGGGAGAGGGAUGCGGAAUUCCAGGUGUAGCGGUGAAAUGCGUAGAUAUCUGGAGGAGCACCGGUGGCGAAGGCGGCAUCCUGGACCAAUACUGACACUGAGGAGCGAAAGCCAGGGGAGCAAACGGG
rnacentral:rRNA from 1 species